rnacentral:rRNA from 1 species
UACGUAGGGGGCAAGCGUUGUCCGGAUUCAUUGGGCGUAAAGAGCGUGUAGGCGGCCAGGAAGGUCGGUUGUGAAAACUGGAGGCUCAACCUUCAGAGGUCGACCGAAACCAUCUGGCUAGAGUCCGGGAGAGGAGAGUGGAAUUCCUGGUGUAGCGGUGAAAUGCGUAGAUAUCGGGAGGAACACCAGUGGCGAAGGCGACUUCCUGGCAUGUUAUUGACGCUGAGGCGCGAAAGCGAGGGGAGCAAACGGG